rnacentral:rRNA from 1 species
UUAUCCGGAUUUAUUGGGUUUAAAGGGAGCGUAGGUGGAUUGUUAAGUCAGUUGUGAAAGUUUGCGGCUCAACCGUAAAAUUGCAGUUGAAACUGGCAGUCUUGAGUACAGUAGAGGUGGGCGGAAUUCGUGGUGUAGCGGUGAAAUGCUUAGAUAUCACGAAGAACUCCGAUUGCGAAGGCAGCUCACUAGACUGUUACUGACACUGAUGCUCGAAAGUGUGGGUAUCAAACAGGAUUAGAUACCCUGGUAGUCCACACAGUAAACGAUGAAUACUCGCUGUUUGCGAUAUACAGUAAGCGGCCAAGCGAAAGCAUUAAGUAUUCCACCUGGGGAGUACGCCGGCAACGGUGAAACUCAAAGGAAUUGACGGGGGCCCGCACAAGCGGAGGAACAUGUGGUUUAAUUCGAUGAUACGCAGGAACCUUACCCGGGCUUAAAUUGCACAGAAUAUAUUGGAAACAGUAUAGCCGUAAGGCUGUGUGAAGGUGC